GGGUGCUAUACAUGCAAGUCGUACGCUUCUUUUUCCACCGGAGCUUGCUCCACCGGAAAAAGAAGAGUGGCGAACGGGUGAGUAACACGUGGGUAACCUGCCCAUCAGAAGGGGAUAACACUUGGAAACAGGUGCUAAUACCGUAUAACAAUCGAAACCGCAUGGUUUUGAUUUGAAAGGCGCUUUCGGGUGUCGCUGAUGGAUGGACCCGCGGUGCAUUAGCUAGUUGGUGAGGUAACGGCUCACCAAGGCCACGAUGCAUAGCCGACCUGAGAGGGUGAUCGGCCACAUUGGGACUGAGACACGGCCCAAACUCCUACGGGAGGCAGCAGUAGGGAAUCUUCGGCAAUGGACGAAAGUCUGACCGAGCAACGCCGCGUGAGUGAAGAAGGUUUUCGGAUCGUAAAACUCUGUUGUUAGAGAAGAACAAGGAUGAGAGUAACUGUUCAUCCCUUGACGGUAUCUAACCAGAAAGCCACGGCUAACUACGUGCCAGCAGCCGCGGUAAUACGUAGGUGGCAAGCGUUGUCCGGAUUUAUUGGGCGUAAAGCGAGCGCAGGCGGUUUCUUAAGUCUGAUGUGAAAGCCCCCGGCUCAACCGGGGAGGGUCAUUGGAAACUGGGAGACUUGAGUGCAGAAGAGGAGAGUGGAAUUCCAUGUGUAGCGGUGAAAUGCGUAGAUAUAUGGAGGAACACCAGUGGCGAAGGCGGCUCUCUGGUCUGUAACUGACGCUGAGGCUCGAAAGCGUGGGGAGCAAACAGGAUUAGAUACCCUGGUAGUCCACGCCGUAAACGAUGAGUGCUAAGUGUUGGAGGGUUUCCGCCCUUCAGUGCUGCAGCUAACGCAUUAAGCACUCCGCCUGGGGAGUACGACCGCAAGGUUGAAACUCAAAGGAAUUGACGGGGGCCCGCACAAGCGGUGGAGCAUGUGGUUUAAUUCGAAGCAACGCGAAGAACCUUACCAGGUCUUGACAUCCUUUGACCACUCUAGAGAUAGAGCUUCCCCUUCGGGGGCAAAGUGACAGGUGGUGCAUGGUUGUCGUCAGCUCGUGUCGUGAGAUGUUGGGUUAAGUCCCGCAACGAGCGCAACCCUUAUUGUUAGUUGCCAUCAUUCAGUUGGGCACUCUAGCAAGACUGCCGG
rnacentral:rRNA from 1 species